ACGAACGCUGGCGGCUGCUUAACACAUGCAAGUCGAACGGAGUGGCGAACGGGUGAGUAACGCGUCAGCAACCUGCCUAUGACAGUGGGAUAGCCUCGGGAAACCGGGAUUAAUACCGCAUAGUCAUAGAUGGGCUCGCGUUUGAUUAGCUAGUUGGUGAGAUAACAGCCCACCAAGGCGACGAUCAGUAGCCGGUCUGAGAGGAUGAACGGCCACAGUGGAGCUGAGACACGGUCCAAACUCCUGCGGGAGGCAGGAGUGGGGAAUAUUGCACAAUGAGGGAAACCCUGAUGCAGCGACGCGGCGUGAACGAAGAAGGUAUUCGUAUCGUAAAGUUCUGUCCUAUGGGAAGCAGUACCAUAGAAGAAAGCUCCGGCUAAAUACGUGCCAGCAGCCGCGGUAAUUC
rnacentral:rRNA from 1 species